GAUGAACGCUGGCGGCGUGCCUAAUACAUGCAAGUCGAGCGAACAGACGAGGAGCUUGCUCCUCUGUCGUUAGCGGCGGACGUGUGAGUAACACGUGGAUCACCUACCUAUAAUACUGGUAUAACUUCGGGAAACCGGAUCUAAUACCGGAGAAUAUAUUGCACCGCAUGGUUCAAUAGUGAAAUACGGUUUUUCUGUCUCUUAUCGAUGCUUCCCCGCCGCAUUAGAUAGUUGUGAAGGUCACGGCUUACCAAGGCAACGAUGCGUAACCGAACUGAGAGAGUGAUCGGCCACACUGGAGCUGAGACACGGUCCAGACGCCUACGGGAGGCAGCAGACGGGAAUCUGACGCAAUGGGCGAAAGCCCGACGGAGCAACGCGGCGUGAGUGAUGAAGGUGUUCGGAUCGGAAAACUCUGUUACUAGGGAAGAACAAAUGUGUACGUAACCAUGCAGGGAUUGACGGUACCUAAUCAGAAAGCCACGGCUAACUACGUG
rnacentral:rRNA from 1 species